CUUUUAUUCAAGAUUAAAACAACAGUUUUAAGUAGUUCUAGUUUCUUCAAAAACCCUUAUAUCUGCAAACCAAGUGUGAAGGGAAGUUGAAGUUCUAGAAGAAUUCAAGUUAUAAGGAGAACUUGCAGAAAUUGAGAUUAAAUCUAAAAGUGGAGGCUGAAUUAUGAUAGUUAUAUUGGUUAGAGGAUAAGGUAUGUAAGGAUAUUCGAUUCGAUAAGCCUUUGGCAUGAAAUUUGAUACUUGCAAUUAAUACCAAUGAAGUGAAUCUCAUAAGUUCUAUUCCUAGAAAAGGAAACAUAGUUGCAGCGUACUAUCUCCAAAAAGCUAACAAUAUUUCCUCCUCUCAGUAGUGUAUAGAACUACUUCAUUAUAUGUUCACUUU